AAUGAGAAAGCGUCGUGUCGUUUGAACCGGGGGAGCGGGACUCUAUCCUGAGCUGUUGUUGAAAACGGAAUAAAGACUUAUAUUUCAUACUUAUAUUUCAUCCCGUUGCUAAAUGAAUUAACUUUAAAUCUAAAAAUAAAAAGGUGUGAUAACGGAUAGAGACGGUUACCACGGUAAUGUUUGAGUUCGUCGGUUCCCGAUCUUCUUGUUGCUGAAACGGACCCUGCAAAAAAAGAGUAAAGAUGAACCGAGCAGGCCGACCGUUGUUCAUGAAGACCUACGGCAAACAGAACCGGAAGUUGGAGGCCUGGAUCUCCCCUGACAACCGAAAACAGGUUUUCGCCAGCACCUCUUCCUCUGACCUGUCCAUCGCUGAGCCCUCCAGCCCCAAACCCCCAGCCAAGAGAGGGAGAAAGAGAAGUACAGCAGAUGGCAGUAGAGCGCUGCGGCCGGCUAAGACCAAAGCCCUGUCCUGGACAGCAGAUAUCAGUAGUGAGCUGCGACUAGCGAAGACCAAAGCCCUGUCCUGUCUGAGAGAGCAGGACAGUGAUGAAGAGAACAUCUUCAUCGUCCCUCCUCCUCCUCUUCCUCCUCCCCAGCAGCAGAGCAACAACACAGCCAGGAAGCCAUUGUUGAGGCAUGCUGGUCGGAAGGCCCAGCGUAUUGUGAGCUCCAGUGAGAGUGAUGGAGAGACAACGACCAGCAGACAACCCAACUCUAAACGCUCCAAACACACCACAGCUAGAGCCAGGACACAUCCGUCUCCAGUUUUGGCUCUAGGGAAGUUUGUGACUCAUCGUAGGGGAGCAACAACCGCCAAACACAAAGCCCCCAAGAGGAAACUCAGUGUCCUGCUAGCCCAGCUCAGCCUCAACUCCUCUGAUGACUUCGUCCAGGGUGGAAGAGAAGAAGGGGGAGGGGUCCAGCGUUCCUUCCCUCGCCGUGCCAAACAGGGGCGCCGCCGGGCCCUGGCCAACGCUGACAGCUCAUUGGCCGACCUGGGUAACAGCGGAGUAACCAACAGUAACGGUUUCCUACGAGAUAUCUCUCUGAACGAGUCGCCCGAGCGCUCCUGCCACAGGAAACCUCUCUUCUCCUCCACCCCCAGCUCACGUGCCCUCCCUCCUCCUCCCUCCUUCCUCCGUCCACCCAUCUCUCUGAGCACCACCCAGGAGGAGCUCAAUGUUCCAGAGGACCCCCUCUCUCUCACAGAGCUGCGCCAGCUGUCGUCCCUGGGCCAGGCAGUGGGACAACCAGAGGUAGGAACCCGUGAAGAGCCGACUCCCCGUGGAUCAACCAGUCUGAGGAGUAACAGGAGCCGGAAUGGAGGCUCAGCGAUCCAAGAUGGCGUUGGUGAGCAGCCGAGCCCGGAGCUGUUCUCCGCGGUUGCCUGUGAGCAGACUGACCCAGACAGGGCCGGGGAGGAAACUGAGGACGGCAGCCAUUUUGUGUCAGCGAUGGUGGGACAGGAUUGGCUGGCUGAGGUCGUGAAGGAGAGGUGUCUGACACGGUGCUGUGCCGUACGGCUAGAGAGACACAAACUGCACGAUGACACCACAUGUUCACCCUGCAUCGACCAGACACGGUCACACGACAACGGGCGGGACAGUCUCGUCCCUAAAGAGCACGUUCCCAGGGACAGUCUCGUCCCUAAAGAGCACGUUCCCAGGGACAGUCUCGUCCCUAAAGAGCACGUUCCCAGGGACAGUCUCGUCCCUAAAGAGCACGUUCCCAGGGACAGUCUCGUCCCUAAAGAGCACGUUCCCAGGGACAGUCUCGUCCCUAAAGAGCACGUUCCCAGGGACAGUCUCGUCCCUAAAGAGCACGUUCCCAGGGACAGUCUCGUCCCUAUAGACCACGUUCCCAGGGACAGUCUCGUCCCUAUAGAGCACGUUCCCAGGGACAGUCUCGGCCCUAUAGAGCAGGUUCCCAAGGACAGUCUCGUCCCUAAAGACCACGUUCCCAUGGACAGUCUCGUCCCUAAAGACCACGUUCCCAUGGACAGUCUCGUCCCUAUAGAGCACGUUCCCAAGGACAGUCUCGGCCCUAUAGACCACGUUCCCAGGGACAGUCUCGUCCCUAAAGACCACGUUCCCAGGGACAGUCUCGUCCCUAAAGACCACGUUCCCAGGGAAAACCCCCACAGAAGGAAGGUGGGAGGAGCUCCUAAAGAGCGGAGGCGGAGGAGCGUGUCUCGGGAGCGGCCCGCCACCAGUAGGAAGGUGGGAGGAGCUCCUAAAGAGCGGAGGAGCGUGUCUCGGGAGCGGCCCGCCACCAGUAGGAAGAUGUGUGUGAGCGGUGUGAGUGUGAGCCGCUGGGGAAGGAGAGACGGAGCUCCCAACAGCAGAGCAGCACCUCCCCCUGGCCGAGCUGGGGACUGCAGCAUUACUGAACUGCUGUCUGCUCAACACACACAUGGGGUAUCCAGUCUAUCAGACCGUAUGGUAUUGGGGACUCCAGUUCGUGGUACCAGACUCCAUCUGUCCUCUCUGCUGGUCAACCUCACUCCUGAGACUCACACCUGGAGUCGCCUCAAAGCUGCCCUCUCCCUACACAGGAAGACCAAAGCGUUCCUGACUCCGAAGAGGCCUCUCUACCUGCUGUCCUCUCCUGAGGCGGAGCUAGGGGUGGGACUAGAGGCGGAGCUAGAGGCGGAGCUAGGUGAUGUCAGUCAAAAACUGUUCUCCACGCCCCGCAACACGCCCCGCCCACCAAACCUCCGCUCAACGAUACGGGGGAGCGCUCCUCUGAGUGUGUAUUCGUUAGACGGAGAGCUGUCUGAUGACCAGAAGGUGUUUUCGGAGUGUAACCAGACAGGACCUCUGGGCUUCCAGGACUGUCUCCCAGCAGCCAGGAUGAAGCUGUGUAGGAAGAUCGGAGAGGGGACCUUCGGAGAGGUCUUCAGUACCACCAACACCUCUGGAGACGCCGUUGCUCUCAAGAUUAUCCCAGUAGAAGGAUGUGACCAGGUGAAUGGAGAGGAACAGAAAACCUUUGGAGAAAUCCUCCACGAGAUUAUCAUCUCCAAGGAGCUGAGCAGUCUAAAGGAGAAGAAACACAACCAGACCACUGGCUUCAUCGGACUGAAGGAUCUCCACUGUGUCAAGGGCUGCUACCCUCCAAGCCUGCUAAAAGCCUGGGACUCCUUCAACACACAGAGAGGAUCAGAGAAUGACCGGCCAGAUUUCUUCAAUGACGAGCAGCUGUUUCUGAUCCUGGAGUUUGAGUUUGGAGGCAAAGACCUGGAGAACAGUAAUGGACAGGUGAGGACACCUGGAGAACAGGUGAGGAGACCUGGAGAACAGUAAUGGACAGGUGAGGACACCUGGAGAACAGGUGAGGAGACCUGGAGAACAGUAAUGGACAGGUGAGGACACCUGGAGAACAGGUGAGGAGACCUGGAGAACAGUAAUGGACAGGUGAGGACACCUGGAGAACAGGUGAGGAGACCUGGAGAACAGUAAUGGACAGGUGAGGACACCUGGAGAACAGGUGAGGAGACCUGGAGAACAGUAAUGGACAGGUGAGGACACCUGGAGAACAGGUGAGGAGACCUGGAGAACAGUAAUGGACAGGUGAGGACACCUGGAGAACAGUAAUGGACAGGUGAGGACACCUGGAGAACAGUAAUGGACAGGUGAGAACAGUAAUGGACAGGUGAGAACACCUGGAGAACAGUAAUGGACAGGUGAGGAGACCUGGAGAACAGUAAUGGACAGGUGAGGAGACCUGGAGAACAGUAAUGGACAGGUGAGGACACCUGGAGAACAGUAAUGGACAGGUGAGGACACCUGGAGAACAGUAAUGGACAGGUGAGGACACCUGGAGAACAGUAAUGGACAGGUGAUGACACCUGGAGAACAGUAAUGGACAGGUGAGGACACCUGGAGAACAGUAAUGGACAGGUGAGGACACCUGGAGAACAGUAAUGGACAGGUGAGGAGGGUGUUUGGUUCUCUACAGUAUAUCUGAUUGGGUGUUUGGUUCUCUACAUUUGGUUCUACAUUCUACAUUUGGUUCUCUCUCUGUUUAUGAACAUACCGAAACUCCCCUCCCUUCCUCUUCUCCGCCCCCCCUCUCCCCUCCUCAUCAUCUCUCCUUUCUCUCCUCUCCCCUUCUCCUCUCUCUCUCCUCCCUCUCUCCUCUCCCCUACUCCCCUCUCUCUCCUCCCUCUCUUCUCUCUCUCUCCCCCUCCUCUCUCUCCUCCUCCCCUCCUCCUCCCUCUCUCCUCUCCUCUCCUCCCUCUCUCCUCUCCAGCUGGCGUCGGUGAUGGUGUCUAAGAGUAUCCUCCAUCAGGUGACUGCUGCUCUGGCUGUGGCUGAACAGGAGCUCUGCUUUGAACACAGAGACCUCCACUGGGGUAAUGUGUUGGUCCAGUCCACUAAGGAGAAGGAGGGGAGUUUCCUCCUCAAUGGAACAAACCAUUCCUUAGAGACCAGGGGGGUGAGCGUACGCAUCAUCGACUACUCCCUCUCCAGGCUCGAGAUCGAUGGUCUCACCGUGUCCUGUGACAUCUCAGAGGAUGAGGAGUUGUUCCAGGGCCAUGGAGACCUUCAGUUUGACAUCUACAGACUCAUGAGACAGGAGAACGGUAACAAGUGGGGUGACUACCAGCCCCACUCCAAUGUGUUGUGGCUCCACUACCUGAGCGCCAAGCUGCUGACUAUGACCUAUAAGAGUCGAGGGGGGCGGGGCGUCAAGCAGGCCAGGUUGGACCUGCAGGGUUUCCACGACGAUGUCCUCACCUUCCGAUCUGCCUCUGACAUACUGUACAACUGUGGCCUGUUCCAAUGAGAAAGAGAGUGUGUGUGUGUGUACUGCCACAUAUUGUUGUUGUUAGCUUGGUUAGCGGGAUGCUAAGUGGUUAGCGGGAUGCUAAGUGGUUAGCGGGAUGCUAAGUGGUUAGCGGGAUGCUAAGUGGUUAGCGGGAUGCUAAGUGGUUAGCGGGAUGCUAAGUGGUUAGCGGGAUGCUAAGUGGUUAGCGGGAUGCUAAGUGGUUAGCGGGAUGCUAAGUGGUUAGCGGGAUGCUAAGUGGUUAGCGGGAUGCUAAGUGGUUAGCGGGAUGCUAAGUGGUUAGCGGGAUGCUAAGUGGUUAGCGGGAUGCUAAGUGGUUAGCGGGAUGCUAAGUGGUUAGCGGGAUGCUAAGUGGUUAGCGGGAUGCUAAGUGGUUAGCGGGAUGCUAAGUGGUUAGCGGGGAUGGAUGCUAAGUGGUUAGCCCUAUAGUAUUGUGUAGGAUCCAGUCGUAACCUUUUUUUGGAGGUGAACUCAUCUUGUGAAUAAUAUUUAUAAACCCAGAAGACUGUAAUGGCUUUGUAUUCUAAAAUUAAAAAGGGGUUUUGUUAUUAAACGUUGAAUAGAAACAAUGA